rnacentral:rRNA from 1 species
UGGGGAAUAUUGGACAAUGGGCGCAAGCCUGAUCCAGCAAUGCCGCGUGGAUGAAGAAGGUCUUCGGAUUGUAAAGUCCUUUCGGCGGGGACGAUGAUGACGGUACCCGCAGAAGAAGCCCCGGCUAACUUCGUGCCAGCAGCCGCGGUAAUACGAAGGGGGCUAGCGUUACUCGGAAUGACUGGGCGUAAAGGGCGCGUAGGCGGUUUGGACAGUUAGGCGUGAAAUUCCUGGGCUCAACCUGGGGGCUGCGCUUAAUACAUCCAGACUUGAGUGUGGAAGAGUGUCGUGGAAUUCCCAGUGUAGAGGUGAAAUUCGUAGAUAUUGGGAAGAACACCGGUGGCGAAGGCGGCGACCUGGUCCAUUACUGACGCUGAGGCGCGAAAGCGUGGGGAGCAAACA